rnacentral:rRNA from 1 species
ACGGUACCCGUAGAAGAAGCCCCGGCUAACUUCGUGCCAGCAGCCGCGGUAAUACGAAGGGGGCUAGCGUUGUUCGGAUUUACUGGGCGUAAAGGGCGCGUAGGCGGUGCAAUAAGUCAGGCGUGAAAGCCCCGGGCUCAACCCGGGAAUUGCGCUUGAUACUGUUGCGCUUGAAUCCAGGAGAGGAUGGCGGAAUUCCCAGUGUAGAGGUGAAAUUCGUAGAUAUUGGGAAGAACACCAGUGGCGAAGGCGGCCAUCUGGCCUGGAAUUGACGCUGAGGCGCGAAAGCGUGGGGAGCAAACAGGAUUAGAUACCCUGGUAGUCCACGCCGUAAACGAUGAGUGCUAGACUCGGGAAGCUUGCUUUUCGGUGUCGACGCUAACGCAUUAAGCACUCCGCCUGGGGAGUACGGCCGCAAGGUUAAA